GUUGAUACAUUUAGCCAUCUUUCGUGGUCGCUAUUUUAUCUAUUUCUUAUAAUUCAUACCAAAAAUACAUAAAAAAUAAUAUAAAUAUAAUAAAAAAUUAAUUUUAUUGUAUUUAUAUUAUUUUUACAGGCAUAAGGAUUGUUGUGCUUGUUGAAAUGACCGGCAUGUCCCGUAUUGGUGUGCGUAAGAGAGACAGAAAAGAGGAUUUUGAAUAAGAAAGAGAAAAGUAAUGAAGGGAGAGGAGGUAGGUGUUGAUGAAAGAGGAUUUUGAAUAGUUUACUUUGGAAUGAGUCAAUUCGGGAUUCAAAGCCGAAUUGGAUUAUAAAUAGAUUUGGCCAUUCCCAUUCUGGAGUGGAAUGAGAAUCGGAAUUCGAUUCCUAUAAAACAAACGGCAAUUAUUGGAAUCAAUGAAUUUCAUUCUGAUUCCAUAAUCUAAAAUGGGUGAACCAAACAUGCCCUAAGUACGAUGAUUCUAUAAUAAAGAGAAUAUAAGAUAUACAAUGCACUUUAGAGUGUAUCAGUAGCAUUAAUUACUCCUCAACUAUAUAUGCCAUAUCUCUAGUAGCUAGCAAACCAAACUUUACUUUAUA
rnacentral:lncRNA from 1 species